CUCCUAUCAUUUGGUAUAUUUACCGCUUUACCACAGUAUACAACUAAUGUUGCGUUUGGUUCGGAUAUAAAUAAAAAACUGUUUAUUUCAAAAAUAUAUACAAAUUCAAAGAGUUGUGCUGGAAUACUAUCGGUAGCAAACGGGCUCCGUUGCCAUCUAUUUAUUUUCGAUGAUGAAACCUGCAAAUCAACGAUCGGCACCGUUGAAAAUGAUCUAUAUUACUUGAAGUAUUUAGAAAUCAAAUUUCAUAUUUUUUCGAUAUUGUUUUCUUGUCCGUCGAAUGGGCGUAAAAAUGAAUGACUGAAAAUAAAUAUCUUCUAAAAAAUGAUGAUAGAAAUUUUAUAAUUAAGAUCGAGAGUAUAGAUCUUGUUCUAAAUAGUUUAAAAAAUUUUCUAACCAAAAUUCAAUUAAUUUGGAUAGCUUUAUAUCGUUAAACAAGAAAACACUUCAUAUCUAUCAGUAAAAUUACAAAUUUUGAAACCCUUUGAUCAUUAGGUCAAUGAUGCUGAAAAGAUUUGAAAUUUGGUUUCUAGAUACUUCAAGUAGUGUAGAUCAUGUUCAACGAUGCCGAUCGUCGAUUUGAAGGCUCUAUCAUCGAAAACAAAUGGGUGGGAACGGAGCCCAUUUGCUACCGAUAGCAUUCCAGCUCAACUCCAAAUUCAGAUAUAAGCAGAAAUUAAACUAAUUUUGCGUUUGGAUGAAAAGUAAGUUCUUCUUAAUCCUUAGUUAGUAAACUAUUUUAGUUAGAGAAUUAGUAAAAAAAUUAAUUAGAUUAAUAAAAAUAUUAAUGAUUGAUCAUUUUAAAUAUUAGUUCAUAGAUAAAUAUAUUAAAUUAUUAAUAAUUAGUUAGCUAAUUAAUUAUAAGUAAUAGAUUAAUUAAUUACUUUAUUAUUUAAGCAACAAAUGAUAAUUUAAAUAUAUUAAUUUAAUUAAUUAAUGAUUUAAUAUCAUAAUUAAAAUUAAAUUUAGGCUUUAACUAACCUUGUUCCGACUUGGGAACAAGCUUGUUCCAGGAAAAAAGAUGGAAUAGCAGUUCCAGUAUUAUACCGGCUUAUUUCAGGGAUCCGAGAACUAGUGUUUUCAAUUACGAAAUUAGAAACAAAGGGGAAAACAAGAACUUAUUCCCUCCUUUGUUUUCGAACCAAACACUGCCAAAUUGUUUUAAUUAGUUUGUUUCCUCUUAGGAAUUUAUCCCUAAAUUAAACUUGCAUGAUAGCAAAGAAAUAGUUUUUGAAAAACUAUUAGAUAGUAAAAUGUAGAUUAUCAAAUGAUAACGUACUAAGUCGUAUUGCCCUGUACGAAUAGUACGUAUACGGUAGGUUUUAUAGUGAAACAAAUAUUAAGUCAUGGGAUAAGAUUGUUAAAUAUAUCUUGUUUGAACUAUAAGAUGGCAAAAUAAAAGUGCUCUAAAUUACAGGGUUAAAUUAUAUAAAGUCUAACAUUUUUUUCCUUUUUCUUUUUCCGGAUUGAAAAAAGUUAUUGUUCCGUAGUUUUGUUAUGAGUAUUAUUAUUCUUCUAGGUAUUUGCUCUUAAUUUAAUUUACUCAUCAUUUGUUACCCUCGAGUAACUAUUAGGGUGUCACGCCCCAAGCCCACAAUAGAGGUCUCCCAAGCGCGUGUUCAUAUCCGUCCAUAUAUAUAUAUAUAUAUAAAAUUUUCUUCCUAAACGAAGUGCUACAAAAUCUAUACUUUCAUUCAUAAAAUAGAAUACGAAUAUAUAUCAUUUGUAGAAUAAGAUAGCCAAUAUUAGAGCAUAAUAGGAACUUGCUAAAACUAGAAAUUUAUAUUUUAUACAAACUUUUGCCAACCUUAGAAGCUCACAUAGGUUUUUUUUUUUUUUUUUUUUUUUUUUUUUUUUUUUUUUUUUUUUUUUUUUUUUCCAAAAUACAACUUAGAAAAAAUAUAACACUUUUCAUCUCCCUAAAAUGAUAUAUCUUCAACUUGUGGUCUUACAACUGGCUACACAAAAAGGCAGGUGGACGAUCAUCUACUGCGCCAAGUUCCUACCUCAAUUUAGUACUCCAACAGCAUACGGAUCUGUAGAAUAGAAUUGAAAAAAUAUAAAUAUAGUUCUCAGUAGAUAAGACUUCUAAAAAAAAAAGCUCGACCUAAUCUAGGAUCUCUUUUUCGGACUUCCACGAGAACUAGGCUUUAGCUUUUAAAAUUUGAUACAAAAUUUUAAAAUUUUAAAAUUCAGUUUAGAUAUUUUAUAUAUAUAUUUCAAAUUCUAUCCAAAUAAUUUUUAAAAAAUUUAUAAAUUUCUAAAAUUUUUCUCAGGUAAUUUUAAACUUUAAAUUUUUGUCCAAAAAAUUUUUAAGUUUUCAUUUUUCAAAAAAAAUAAAAUUUUAAUUCUUUUCCACCAUAAUACCUCUCUAAUAGUUAAAAACAUUUAGAAAAUAUUUUUUACUUUUCAAAUUUUUAAAUAUAAAAAUUUUAAAACCUAAAAAAUAAUAAUAAAAAAUAGUAAGUCCGUAAGGGCCUGUCCUGGCCCAAUUUGGUCCAUGCUAUUUGGGCCCAACGGCCGUGCUGGGCCACAAGUUCGGAAAAGUUUGGCUCGACUCAAAUUUGCGGCUUGGCCUUGCCGGGGCGGGCAAGUCCUGAGCCGGUAUCGGUCCAAAAAAAAUGUUAGUCGUGCUGACCCAGCACAACCCACAUUAUGGGCGUGUUUGGUUCAAAGUUGGAGUCGGAAUCGAAAUCGGAAUCGGAAUCAAAAUAAGCUGGAAUCGGAAUCGGAAUGACUCAUUACCAAAUUUUGUUUGAUUCAUCACCUGAAUCGGAAUCGGAAUAAAUCAUUUUCAUUGUCGGUAUUUGGUUCGGGUGGUACAAAAAACGUAAUCAAAUUAAUAUAUUAACAUUAUCUUUAUAAUAUAUUAAUUUAAAUUCAAAUUAAAAAUUAAAUAUUAAAAAUUUAUAUCAAAAUUUUGAAAUAAUAUCAAAAUUUUAAAUCUAUUUUUUUUUAAAAAAAUUAAACUUU
rnacentral:lncRNA from 1 species